rfam:Felis catus isolate Cinnamon breed Abyssinian chromosome E2, whole genome shotgun sequence.
GCCUGGGUGGCUUAGUCGGUUAAGCAACCGACUUUGGCUCGGGUCAUGAUUCCAUGUUUGUGGGUUCGAGCCCCACCUCAGGCU